AGGACUGUGCACGAGCUGAUCACAUGCCCUGCAACACACACCUCUGAUCUUGCCUCUGAAACCUCUUCCCUGAAAGCCAGCAGGAAGUCCGGGUCUGUUGAGCACGAGCUGCCCUUCUUCUCGAUUGUGCGGAUUCUUUACCAGCUGAGCUACUAGGAAAGCCCACACUUUUUCUUGCUUGGCACCCUGCAACAAAUUGUAGGCUUUCUUCAUCAUAACCAGUUGUCAGUAGACUGGCUUUGCUGAGCACGGCAAAUCGUCGGGCAGCUCGCAAUGGCCCUCUCUGCCAACGUGACACCUCACAGCAACACGAGACCUUUUCCUCUGCACAGCAUGCUCUGAUCCAUGGCUGCCAGUUUUCAUAUUUGCUCAGUAAAUAGCCAUUGCCUUGUUCAGGACUCCUCUCCACAUGUAAGAAGCAUCUCCAAAAGACAAUUGGACCCCGUUAACUUUUUCACGGCUCCU